rnacentral:rRNA from 1 species
UACGUAGGGUGCAAGCGUUGUCCGGAAUUAUUGGGCGUAAAGAGCUCGUAGGCGGUUUGUCGCGUCUGCUGUGAAAACUCGGGGCCUAACCCCGGGCCUGCAGUGGGUACGGGCAGACUAGAGUGCGGUAGGGGAGACUGGAAUUCCUGGUGUAGCGGUGAAAUGCGUAGAUAUCAAGAGGAACACCUGAGGUGAAGACGGGUUGCUGGGCCGACACUGACGCUGAUGCGCGAAAGCCAGGGGAGCAAACGGG